rnacentral:rRNA from 1 species
GAUGAACGCUAGCGAUAGGCUUAACACAUGCAAGUCGAGGGGCAGCACAAGGUAGCUUGCUAUCUGGGUGGCGACCGGCGCACGGGUGCGUAACGCGUAUGCAACUUGCCCUAUACAGGAGGAUAACCCGUCGAAAGACGGACUAAUACUGCGUAUGCUCACAACUUGGCAUCAAGUGGUGAGGAAAGAAAUUCGGUAUAGGAUAGGCAUGCGUCCCAUUAGCUUGUUGGUGAGGUAACGGCUCACCAAGGCAACGCUGGGUAGGGGAACUGAGAGGUUUAUCCCCCACACUGGUACUGAGACACGGGCCAGACUCCUACGGGAGGCAGCAGUGAGGAAGAUUGGGCAAUGGGCGCGAGCCUGAACCAGCCAAGUCGCGUGAAGGAGGACUGUCUUAUGGAUUGUAAACUUCUUUUAUACGGGAAUAACAAGAGUCACGUGUGACUCCCUGCAUGUACCGUAUGAAUAAGCAUCGGCUAACUCCGUG